rnacentral:lncRNA from 1 species
ACAAAUACAGAAAAUCCACUGUUCACAUGGACAGAGUCUUCCCUAUAUUCGCACAGCGUCGCACAAGUACAAGAUACAACCACAUACAUAUGAACAUCCACAUAUAUAAACCACAUCACAAUUUUCACUUUAUUCCAUCACAGAUAGAUAUAAAUUCACAUAUAUUAGUUUAAAACGUUUCCUACCCGAAAACUCAUUUUGAAACACUAAGAAUAAUGAAAACCAAGAAAAAGCCCUUUUAAAAUCAUUUUCCACACGGAAAUCUUUUUCUUUUAAAACACACUACCACAAGGGGUGGAAAAUCAUAUUCCAUCGCAUUGGAAAAACCAUAAAUCCUUUAUUAUAUUCACAAAAAUAUAUUUGUCCAAUUUAAGCAAAUCACUGAACCAUAAAUACUAAGUUAAUUAUUUAAGAAGUCAAGGAAUUUAACCAAAAUGCACUGGG